ACGAACGCUGGCGGCAUGCCUAACACAUGCCAGUCGAGCGAGACCUUCGGGUCUAGUGGCGCACGGGUGCGUAACGCGUGGGAACCUGCCCUUAGGUUCGGAAUAACUCCCCGAAAGGGGUGCUAAUACCGGAUAAUGUCUUCGGACCAAAGAUUUAUCGCCUUUGGAUGGGCCCGCGUUGGAUUAGCUAGUUGGUAGGGUAAAAGCCUACCAAGGCGACGAUCCAUAGCUGGUCUGAGAGGAUGAUCAGCCACACUGGGACUGAGACACGGCCCAGACUCCUACGGGAGGCAGCAGUGGGGAAUAUUGGACAAUGGGCGAAAGCCUGAUCCAGCAAUGCCGCGUGAGUGAUGAAGGCCUUAGGGUUGUAAAGCUCUUUUACCCGGGAUGAUAAUGACAGUACCGGGAGAAUAAGCUCCGGCUAACUCCGUG
rnacentral:rRNA from 1 species